rnacentral:lncRNA from 1 species
CGAGCAGCCCUGAGCACCUCUAGUUUGAAUCCAUUCCUUUGUAAAAUAGCUUAAUUUUUGCUAAAAUUCCUCAUCCUCUUUAUUUUGUGUUGCCCAAGCCUUGAACCCUAGGUAUAAAUACAACUUUCUUUUUUAUAUUUUUCAGCAUUUAAUUCAACAUUUCCCUACCCUAGUCGUUCACCCUCUCCUCUCCUAUUUUCUCUUUAAUUUUCUUUCUUUUCUCUUUAAUUUUCUUUCUCUUUCUUUCUUUCCUUGUGUGCCGCCGCCCAAGCCACCAAGAUUCACCAUCAAUUUCUCUUCUUUUUGCAACAGGUUCUUGCACCAUUCUUUUCCCUCCUUUUUGCUGUCAUUUUUCUUUAUUUUUCCAAUCAUAAAUCCGAAAUCUUUAAUCUCCAAGAACGAUAUUUAUUAUUGCCCAAGAAGCUCCAUUGUUGCCCAUUUCAUCUAGCUAGUGUAAGUGCUUAUUUUCUUUAAUUUUUUUGAUGAAUCUUUCAAGAAAAUACCUAAAUUUAUAAAUCUGGAAUUAGGAUAAUUUAUAAUGAUUUUAUUGGUAUUUUUCUAGCCUUUAAAAGUAAUUUCAAUUGGCCCUUUAAAUCAACCCCAAUUUGCCACCGUUGGUGGUGGUGCGCUGUGCCUAAAGGCACAAAAGGGGUUGCUGUUUUCUUUAAUUUUUUCCCACCUAUUUCCAAAAAUAUCUUGGUUUCUUAAACCCUUCCUAAUCAGCCUUAAUCAUGUGUGAUUUAAGAAAAAUUCAAUCUUGAUCAUUCGACAACUCAAAUCUGACAAUUCGAGAAGCGUAAGUGUGGUUGAUUAUGGGAUAGUGCGUAAUUCGAUUUAAUUGUUGGGGAAAUCGAUAAUUGGUUGGAUUAAGAUUUUAACGAUGGAAUAGCUACUGAUUUUCAGUAUUUAAUUGUGUUAGGUGCUGAUUUAAACGCCCCAAAUCAACAGUGAAGCCGUACGUGUGUUUCGCAUCAAACCAGUGUAAGAAACCUAGCUAAUUUAGAUCUGAAAAAUUGUUAUGGUUGUGGUGAUUGGGUUGAACCCAUAAAAGGGUGUUUGAGGGUUGUUUAAGCGGUAUAUCAAUUUGAUAAAAUAAUGAUCUUUUAUUUAGGUUCAUUUUAAGGUCUUAAGGGGAAACCGCAAGUUUUGUAAGUGUGCUAUAGUAGAGUGAAAAAUAAUGUAUGGGUCCUAACUUGUUAACUUGAAUGUUUUGAUAAUAUUAUAUAUAUGGUCUAAAUGUGGAUUAAGCUUGCUGGUUGGGCUUAGUUAAUUGACUAAGUGAAUGUGUUAAAGUGGCUAAUUCAAGUACGUUACUGGUCUUGUCUAAAUGGCAUGUUUGCAAAAUUGUUUGAUUGACUGAAUAGUUAAUUGUUUGAUAUUGAUAUGAAAGGUUUAUUGGUAUGAUGUGUGAUUGAUUGUAUGUAUAACAUGUGUUAUUUUGGAAAUAGAUAUUGAAUGCCCUAAAUCUUGUUGGGUAAAAUGCCAUGAAAAGUAUGAAUGAAAAAACUGCUAUUCAUGCACUGGAAAUAUUUUUCCAUAAUGUUAAUGAUUGAUGAUAUGAUUAAAUGUCACCGUAUUGAUGGUGAAACUAAACGAUUGAUAUGUGAACGUUAUAAUGAUGACAUGUAAUCUAUGCUAUUGAAAGUAUAUGUAUGAAGCGUGCAUUUGAUUGAAAUAUUGUAUGACAUAUCGCAUGUGCAUGAGGUGGGUUAUUAUGGUUGAUGGAGGAGUUCCAUGGAGUUCUGACACUGAGAGUACUGUGAAGAAUGACUAUUUUAUCGCAUUUAAUGUUAAAUGGCAAUAUAACUGCAUUAUGUUUAUAUGGUGGUUUAACCUCAUCGAGCUUUGCUUGCAAUAUUUAGAGUUUGGCAUACGGGUUUUGGGAAACUCGUAGUGUGUAGCGGAUGGUUUGGGUAGGAAUUCAUUAUGCAUUAUGAUAUGUUCAUGACACUUACGAAUGAAAAUAUUUAUGUUAUGGUUGUGAUGCCACAAUAAUUUUGAUGAACGACAUUUGCUUGAAUGGUUGAAUGUGCUUAUGGUUUAGAUUUACACUGAGCUAAUUAACUCGUUUAUGCUAUGUAUUGUAUUGUGUUAAAUCAAAUGGUAUUGGAUUAAUGACUGUUUUUUGUAUGAAUGUUUGUGUGAUUAUAUUGUUAUAGACUCACACUGAGUUAGUUUAGCUUACCCCAUAGUUCAAAACUUCUCAUGUAAUGCUCGUGACUAGGAUCAGACCCAGCAUACGGGGUAUCACCUCGGACAUCGGAUUGUUUUUAAAUAAGUAUUUUUAAUAAAUUCUUUGUUGGUUUUGGAUUGUAAUUUUUAAUGUAUUGGGUAUGUGGCUUGAUUAUUUUUUUUUGGGGGGGGGGGAUUUUGUGCAUGCAUAUAUUACUGAAGCUUAAUAACUAAUAAUUGCAUGAUAUAUGACUUAAGUAAAAAUAACAUUGAUCACCAAUUUUUUGUUGUGUUACAAAUUAACCGUUUUGAAAAACAAAUUGAUAAGGCAAUUGGAUUUCCAAAAUGAUAUGAAUAAUAGUUUUCCACUACAUUUUGAAUAUUCAAUUUUUGUGAAAUAAAAUGUCAAAACAAUUAGUCUUCUAAAACAUGACAACAAUAAUAAAGUAAAGAUGGCCUAAUUGAAUGAAUGUUUUAAUGUUAAUUAAUUUCAAGGGUGAUGACUUUUCUAAAGUUAGAAAAAAAAUUAGGGUUUUUUUGUAAGAAAACCCAAUAAACGAAUGUUUUAUCUAACUUGGAUCACCAAUAACGGUUUUCUUUAAAAUUAGUUGCGUGUUAAGGAUUUUCAAAGGUCAAUUAGUCUGUUUAGCUAUUUCGGUGGCUAAUGCAGUCUUCUCAAUAUGGUCAUAACGUCUAGGCCGGGUUAAGGAGGUUAUAACCUUAGACAAGG